UCCACGUUGCCAAAAUCUUUUUAUGAAGCGAAACAGAUUGUAAAGGAUUAAGGUCUCUCCUACAAAAAAAUAGAUUCAUGUAUCAAUAACUGCAUGCUCUAUUGGAAAGAAGAAGAAAAUUCCAACUUGUGCAAAAUAUGUGGCAGUUCUAGGUGGAAGGAAAAUAGUUACGCCUUCAACAUCUCACGAUGAGGAUAUUUUUAUCAGAAGAUUUCAUGAGAAUUACAGAGCGAUCACGUCCGAGAGUAGAUAGUCAUAAUCUCGUCAUAUGUGUACAUAUUUUGAUUUAAUAGAUAGAAACAGUUAUUGGAUGAAAGUUUUAUUUUGAUUCUACAUGAAUAUAUGGUAUUAAACAUUUAAUUUUUAUUAUAAUGAAGAUUCCAGUGUUA